rnacentral:rRNA from 1 species
UUCUCAAAAUUAAAAAAACAAUAAUACACUACACGAAAGUGGGAUAAGGUUUCCCAAGUGCCUAUACUCUGAAUUGGCUUUUUUCAAGAAUAAAGAGCUUGGCCCCCAAGUGGAGGGCAACACUGGUGGCAGCCGCCGCGGAAACCCCAGCGCCACAAGUGGGAACCAUAUUUAUUGGGUCUAAAGCAUCCGUAGCCGGUUAAGUAAAUUCUCUGUGAAAUCGUUGGUUUUAACCCGACGGCGUGAAGGAAACACUUGCUUAACUUGGGACGAGGAGAGGUAGAAGGUAUUCUAGGGGGGGGGGGGAAAAUGUUAUUAAUCCCUGGGAGGACCACCGAUGGGAAAGGAAUUCUACCAAAAUGGGAUCUGACGAUGAGAAUGAAAACCUAUUGGAGCAAUCCGGAUUAGAUACCCGAGUAGUCCUACCAGUAAGGGCGGGGUGCCAGAUAUUGGAUAAAUCACGAGAUUGUGGGGGGGCGAACCCAAGGGUUAAAAAAACACAACUUUUUAAUUGGGCCGCAAAAAUGAAAUUUAAAGGAAUUGCCGGGGGGAAAAGGGGAGUUCGUUUAACCUGCGGGAGUGGCCCCUUUAGUGAGGGUUUUAUUCUGAACUUGCGAAUCCGGGCCAUAGUUUUUCCGGA